AGCAGUGGGAGAACUCGUGGCUGGGAGAGGAGAUCUUAUAAUUUCCAGCCUUGACAACACCAUCGCUCGUUCCAGAGCAAUACACUUUCUUGUAGCCAACGAGUUAAGCGGAGCCGUAAUGGUCAUGAAGCGGACCACAUCUGUUGACUCGACCUGGUCACGUUACGUUGAAGAAUUUUCAGGUGGAGUUUGGUUGAGCUGCGCUGCACUGACUGGUUUUUUGACCCUGUUUCUGUACGGAAUUAUUAAGAAAAGUCCGUUCGAGCCUAGCAAGAUACCGCUGCAAGAUACUUGGCUUCUUGUAAUUGGUGCUUUUGCCGCGCAAGGCUCGGAACGUGUAUACGCGGGUUUUUCCAGCCGUAUCGCAGUCAUUGUCACCUACAC